rnacentral:rRNA from 1 species
AACGAACGCUGGCGGCAUGCCUAACACAUGCAAGUCGAACGAGACCUUCGGGUCUAGUGGCGCAAGGGUGCGUAACGCGUGGGAACCUGCCCUUCGGGUCGGAAUAACUCCCCGAAAGGGGUGCAAAUACCGGAUAAUGUCUUCGGACCAAAGAUUCAUCGCCUUUGGAUGGGCCCGCGUUGGAUUAGCUAGUUGGUAGGGGAAAAGCCUACCAAGGCGACGAUCCAUAGCUGGGAGGAGAGGAUGAUCAGCCACACUGGGACUGAGACACGGCCCGGACUCGGACGGGACGCAGCAGUAGGGAAUAUUAGAGAGUGGGCGGAAGCCUGAUCCAGCAGUGCCGGGUAAGAGAUGAAGGCCUUGGGGUUGUAAAGCUCUUUGGGCCGUGAUGAUAAUGACAGUACCGGGAGAAUAAGCACCGGCUAACUCCGUG